AUUGAACGCUGGCGGCAGGCCUAACACAUGCAAGUCGAACGGUAGGACAGAGGAGCUUGCUCCUUGGGUGACGAGUGGCGGACGGGUGAGUAAUGCCUGGGAAACUGCCCGAUGGAGGGGGAUAACUACUGGAAACGGUAGCUAAUACCGCAUAACGUCUUCGGACCAAGGUGGGGGACCUUCGGGCCUCACACCAUCGGAUGUGCCCAGGUGGGAUUAGCUAGUAGGUGGGGUAAUGGCUCACCUAGGCGACGAUCCCUAGCUGGUCUGAGAGGAUGACCAGCCACACUGGAACUGAGACACGGUCCAGACUCCUACGGGAGGCAGCAGUGGGGAAUAUUGCACAAUGGGCGCAAGCCUGAUGCAGCCAUGCCGCGUGUAUGAAGAAGGCCUUCGGGUUGUAAAGUACUUUCAGCGGGGAGGAAGGCGGUGAAGUUAAUAGCUUCACCGAUUGACGUUACCCGCAGAAGAAGCACCGGCUAACUCCGUGCCAGCCGCCGCCGUAA
rnacentral:rRNA from 1 species